rnacentral:rRNA from 1 species
AUUGAACGCUGGCGGCAUGCUUUACACAUGCAAGUCGGACGGCAGCACAGAGAAGCUUGCUUCUUGGGUGGCGAGUGGCGAACGGGUGAGUAAUAUAUCGGAACGUACCGAGUAAUGGGGGAUAACUAAUCGAAAGAUUAGCUAAUACCGCAUAUUCUCUGAGGAGGAAAGCAGGGGACCUUCGGACCUUGCGUUAUUCGAGCGGCCGAUAUCUGAUUAGCUAGUUGGUGGGGUAAAGGCCUACCAAGGCGACGAUCAGUAGCGGGUCUGAGAGGAUGAUCCGCCACACUGGGACUGAGACACGGCCCAGACUCCUACGGGAGGCAGCAGUGGGGAAUUUUGGACAAUGGGCGCAAGCCUGAUCCAGCCAUGCCGCGUGUCUGAAGAAGGCCUUCGGGUUGUAAAGGACUUUUGUCAGGGAAGAAAAGGCUGUUGCUAAUAUCAAUAGCUGAUGACGGUACCUGAAGAAUAAGCACCGGCUAACUACGUG